AGCGACUUAUAUUCUGUAGCAAGGUUAACCGAAUAGGGGAGCCGGAGGGAAACCGAGUCUUAACCGGGCGUUAAGUUGCAGGGUAUAGACCCGAAACCCGGUGAUCUAGCCAUGGGCAGGUUGAAGGUUGGGUAACACUAACUGGAGGACCGAACCGACUAAUGUUGAAAAAUUAGCGGAUGACCUGUGGCUGGGGGUGAAAGGCCAAUCAAACCGGGAGAUAGCUGGUUCUCCCCGAAAGCUAUUUAGGUAGCGCCUCGUGAAUUCAUCUCCGGGGGUAGAGCACUGUUUCGGCUAGGGGGCCAUCCCGGCUUACCAACCCGAUGCAAACUGCGAAUACCGGAGAAUGUUAUCACGGGAGACACACGGCGGGUGCUAACGUCCGUCGUGAAGAGGGAAACAACCCAGACCGCCAGCUAAGGUCCCAAAGUCAUGGUUAAGUGGGAAACGAUGUGGGAAGGCCCAGACAGCCAGGAUGUUGGCUUAGAAGCAGCCAUCAUUUAAAGAAAGCGUAAUAGCUCACUGGUCGAGUCGGCCUGCGCGGAAGAUGUAACGGGGCUAAACCAUGCACCGAAGCUGCGGCAGCGACGCUGAUGCGUUGUUGGGUAGGGGAGCGUUCUGUAAGCCUGCGAAGGUGUGUCGUGAGGCAUGCUGGAGGUAUCAGAAGUGCGAAUGCUGACAUAAGUAACGAUAAAGCGGGUGAAAAGCCCGCUCGCCGGAAGACCAAGGGUUCCUGUCCAACGUUAAUCGGGGCAGGGUGAGUCGACCCCUAAGGCGAGGCCGAAAGGCGUAGUCGAUGGGAAACGGGUUAAUAUUCCCGUACUUGGUGUUACUGCGAAGGGGGGACGGAGAAGGCUAUGUUGGCCGGGCGACGGUUGUCCCGGUUUAAGCGUGUAGGUGUGUGUUCCAGGUAAAUCCGGUUCACUUUAACACUGAGGCGUGAUGACGAGGCACUACGGUGCUGAAGCAACAAAUGCCCUGCUUCCAGGAAAAGCCUCUAAGCAUCAGGUAACAUCAAAUCGUACCCCAAACCGACACAGGUGGUCAGGUAGAGAAUACCAAGGCGCUUGAGAGAACUCGGGUGAAGGAACUAGGCAAAAUGGUGCCGUAACUUCGGGAGAAGGCACGCUGACACGUAGGUGAAGUGAUUUACUCAUGGAGCUGAAGUCAGUCGAAGAUACCAGCUGGCUGCAACUGUUUAUUAAAAACACAGCACUGUGCAAACACGAAAGUGGACGUAUACGGUGUGACGCCUGCCCGGUGCCGGAAGGUUAAUUGAUGGGGUCAGCGCAAGCGAAGCUCCUGAUCGAAGCCCCGGUAAACGGCGGCCGUAACUAUAACGGUCCUAAGGUAGCGAAAUUCCUUGUCGGGUAAGUUCCGACC
rnacentral:rRNA from 1 species